GGGGCCGACUGGUUUUGACAGCGAGACCAAUGGCAUUGUAAGCAUGUCGAGCGCUGGGAUACAGCUCGUAAAUCUCAUAUUUCACACUUUUAAAUGGCGAAUCUAAUUACGCUCUUGCCGCUUAAUCUGAAUUAUAGUAGGAUAUAGCCUCGUCCCUGCAAGGCAGGGAAGCGAGAUGUCCCGGGAUAGCCCUUGUUGAUGGCGAUCCAUACCGGGGCACCAUAAAAAUCAACAUAGGAUCUCCGUAGCUUCGGCGGAGGUUCAAAAACAAAGAAGCUAAGUACAGGGUAGGCGGUUCCUGGUCAGCCUUGUAUCGAAAAUCGAACAGGUCCUAAACAUGUAGAAAGCAGUGGUAUUGCUUGUUUGGACGGGAGUUCGAUUCUCCCCGGCUCCAC
rnacentral:tmRNA from 1 species